CUGCGAUAAGCGCCGGUAAGGUGAUAUGAACCGUUAUAACCGGCGAUUUCCGAAUGGGGAAACCCAGUGUGAUCCGUCACACUAUCAUUACCUGAAUACAUAGGGUAAUGAAGCGAACCGGGAGAACUGAAACAUCUAAGUACCCCGAGGAAAAGAAAUCAAACGAGAUUCCCCCAGUAGCGGCGAGCGAACGGGGAGCAGCCCAGGACCUUAAUCAGCAUCAGUGUUAAGAGAACAGUCUGGAAAGGCUGGCCACAGCAGGUGAUAGCCCUGUAUCUGAAAGCACUGGUGUUGUGAGUCCGAUGAGUAAGGCGGGACACGUGUUAUCCUGUCUGAAUAUGGGGGGACCAUCCUCCAAGGCUAAAUACUCCUGACUGACCGAUAGUGAACCAGUACCGUGAGGGAAAGGCGAAAAGAACCCCGGCGAGGGGAGUGAAAAAGAACCUGAAACCGUGUACGUACAAGCAGUGGGAGCACCCUUCGGGGUGUGACUGCGUACCUUUUGUAUAAUGGGUCAGCGACUUAUAUUCUGUAGCAAGGUUAACCGAAUAGGGGAGCCGCAGGGAAACCGAGUCUUAACUGGGCGUCUUAGUUGCAGGGUAUAGACCCGAAACCCGGUGAUCUAGCCAUGGGCAGGUUGAAGGUUGGGUAACACUAACUGGAGGACCGAACCGACUAAUGUUGAAAAAUUAGCGGAUGACUUGUGGCUGGGGGUGAAAGGCCAAUCAAACCGGGAGAUAGCUGGUUCUCCCCGAAAGCUAUUUAGGUAGCGCCUCGUGAACUCAUCUCCGGGGGUAGAGCACUGUUUCGGCUAGGGGGUCAUCCCGACUUACCAACCCGAUGCAAACUGCGAAUACCGGAGAAUGUUAUCACGGGAGACACACGGCGGGUGCUAACGUUCGUCGUGAAGAGGGAAACAACCCAGACCGCCGGCUAAGGUCCCAAAGUCAUAAUUAAGUGGGAAACGAAGUGGGAAGGCUCAGACAGCCAGGAUGUUGGCUUAGAAGCAGCCAUCAUUUAAAGAAAGCGUAAUAGCUCACUGGUCGAGUCGGCCUGCGCGGAAGAUGUAACGGGGCUAAAUUAUGCACCGAAGCCGCGGCAGCGAUAUGUAAAUAUUGUUGGGUAGGGGAGCGUUCUGUAAGCCUGUGAAGGUGACCUGUGAGGGUUGCUGGAGGUAUCAGAAGUGCGAAUGCUGACAUAAGUAACGAUAAUGCGGGUGAAAAACCCGCACGCCGGAAGACCAAGGGUUCCUGUCCAACGUUAAUCGGGGCAGGGUGAGUCGACCCCUAAGGCGAGGCUGAAAAGCGUAGUCGAUGGGCAACGGGUUAAUAUUCCCGUACUGGUGGUAACUGCGAAGGGGGGACGGAGAAAGCUAAAUCAUCCGGGCGACGGUUGUCCCGGUUUAAGCGUGCAGGUGGACUGACCAGGCAAAUCCGGUCGGUUGUUAACACUGAGGCGUGACGACGAGCCACUACGGUGGUGAAGUGAUUGAUGCUCUGCUUCCGGGAA
rnacentral:rRNA from 1 species